CCUACGGGAGGCAGCAGUGGGGAAUAUUGCACAAUGGGGGAAACCCUGAUGCAGCGACGCCGCGUGAGUGAAGAAGUAUUUCGGUAUGUAAACCCCUAUUAGUAGGGAAGAAAAUGACGGUACCUGACUAAGAAGCCCCGGCGAACUCCGUGCCAGCAGCCGCGGUAAUACGUAGGGGGCAAGCGUGAUCCGGAUUCACUGGGUGUAAAGGGAGCGUAGGCGGCAGCGCAAGUCUGGAGUGAAAUCCCAUGGCUUAACCAUGGAACUGCAUUGGAAACUGUGCGUCUAGAGUAUGGGAGAGGUAAGCGGAAUUCUUGGUGUAGCGGUGAAAUGCGUAGAUAUUAAGAGGAACACUCGUGGCGAAGGCGGCUUACUGGACUGUAACUGACGUUGAGGCUCGAAAGCGUGGGGAGCAAACAGGAUUAGAUACCCGAGUAGUC
rnacentral:rRNA from 1 species